AGUAGAGGUGAUGGGAACUUAGAUUUUAUUUUUGCUUGAACAAGUAAUAACAUAGUAAAUGGGAAUCCAGUGACAUGUCUCAAAAAGUAAACCCAAUGUUUUUACUGCGAGAUCUUGAAACUUGAUCAAAAGCCACACACACACACACGUACAUAUGUAUUGUUGGAGAGAGAGAGAGAGAGCGUGUGGGACCAGAGACACCCAUGUUUCUUGUCUUGUAUAGCUUUCUUUGGCUCUCUCCACUACUCAAUUUCUUCAUAAAACCCCCUUUUUAUUUCUCUCAUUCUCUCUUCCAUCAUCACCACUCAAUUAUCUUCUUCUCCAUCUCUCUCUCUCUGCUUCUCCCUUGAUAUUAGCCGGGUCUCGUGGGGGACGAACACAGAGAGAGAGAGAGAGAUAUAAAGAUAUAUGUAUAUUCAGAAACCCUAGAUUCUAUAAUCUCGAGUCAAAAGGAAAAGGGGUUUUCUCUUUUGAGGGGAAUGUUGUCUGGCUCGAGGACUCUGGCUCGCUCUAUUCAUGUUGGAUCUUUUUCGAUCUAAUAAUCGAAUUGAACCUCCAGAUUUCAGAUCUGACUAGGGUUUUAGCGUCGUCGGACCAGGCUUCAUUCCCCCCAAUUGUUGCUCCCGAUUUCUUCCUUCUUCUCAAUUUAGGGUUUCAGAUCCCGUGAAUGAACCCAUGUUAAAGAUGCCAGAUAUUUAGUAAGCCAGACUUCGCUACCACAACGGAGAGUUGAAUAAAUAUGUGUCUAUAUAUGUAAUAAUUGUCAACAAUUAAAAAGAAUACAAAAUGGAGAGGAUAUAAAAUUUCAGAGUGAUACCAUUGCGCAUAGAGUUUUCAUACUUCGAUUUUUCUUUGUUAAAUUUAUGUUUCAGAUUUAGUAAGCCAGACUUCGCUACCACAAGGGAGGGUUGCAUAAAAUAUGUGUCUAUAUAUGUAGUAAUUGUCAACAAUUAAAAAGUAUACAAAAUGGGGAUGAUAUAAAAUUUCAGGUGAUACAUAGAGUUUUCAUACUUCGAUUUUUCUUUGUUAAAUUCAUGUUUCGUUUUUUUUUCUGCGUUGAUCUAUAUUCCGAAAUAGAGAAACACUUUACUAAUUGAUAAAUCAAAAUAAGAUAAUAUUUGAAUGGGAAAAGAGAUUAGGGUGAAAGUGGCCGAGAAAGCGUCUUUAAUAAAACAAUAAAUGAAAAAAUAAAUUAUUAUUAAAAAAUUGAAAACGUAAAGAAAAAUCUUACUAAAAGUGAUGCUUUUUUGGUUGUCCUAAAGUUUUCACGGAUUACACAAGUUCCAUGGCUCAUCGGAUUUAUCUUUUUACUAUGUACUUUUAACCAAGACUUUGACCACAUUUUAUGCCUUCUACGGUUUUCAGUGUCUUUUCCUGCUGAACCUACGGCUAUGAUUUUAUGUCAAUUUAAUUUUUGUUUCACAAUAGUGUAAUCCCAUUUAUAUAUAUGAAUAUAUGCCGAAUUGUCAACUAUCAAGCAGGCGGUUAUCCUCAAUAGUAUAAUAGUAUUAUUAGUGUUAUAUAAAUAAUGCAUUUUUAUAAAUGUCAAUUGAGUUUAUAAGAAACUGGUUAGACAGACUUUUUUUUUGUAGUCUGGAUUUCUUAGGUUAGACAGACUUAUUCAUAUGUUUUAUUUCGGACUUAAAAAAUCAUAACAUUUAUUCAGUGGAACAUGUAACAUGCAAGUAGUGCACAUCCAAUGUAUUUUUUUGGUCGAAAAUAUAUUGAUGACCAUGGGCUUUAAUUGGGCCUAGACUUGUCAUCAUUUUGACUUAAGCCAUAACGCUUAAUUAACAGAAGCCCAUUAUCGUUUCCAUAGUUUUAUAUCUACGAACUUAUUACUAAUACACAUUCGGCCCAUUGAUAAUUGGUGACUGACUAAUGGCAUGCAUUAUUUGCUAAAUUAAAAAAACAAUUGCAUGAAUUAUAGUUUUGAUUGGUAAUACUGUGUAUUGACUAAAAAUCAAAUUAUCUGUAAAAUCUGUGAAACUAAAUCAUGAAUCAAAACAGAAACUUAUAUGUAAAACCGCAAACGGACAUCAUUUUAUUAAUAUUUUUAGAUCGACUAGACCCGAUCCAUAGUAAAUUAAUGCGACUUAAUAAAAUCGAAUUCCAAUAAGGAAGAUGAAGUCAAAUGGACUUAACCACUUUACUAAAGGCACAUCCCCAUCCCCUUAGCACCGGGCUUGCAUUCGGCUUAUCUCCUUCAAUUUUACUUUAGUCGUAUCUCAUUUCCUUUGUAAAUUACUUUAAAGUCUAUCUUGUUCCUGUAAUAUCAAGUUUUUCUCUCUUUUGUAUCCUGUAGAUUUAGGUUGUAAUAUAAUAUCAUGUUAAUUAAUUUCGAAUUGAAA